rnacentral:rRNA from 1 species
AAAUUGAAGAGUUUGAUCAUGGCUCAGAUUGAACGCUGGCGGCAGGCCUAACACAUGCAAGUCGAACGGUAACAGGAAGCAGCUUGCUGCUUCGCUGACGAGUGGCGGACGGGUGAGUAAUGUCUGGGAAACUGCCUGAUGGAGGGGGAUAACUACUGGAAACGGUGGCUAAUACCGCAUAACGUCGCAAGACCAAAGAGGGGGACCUUCGGGCCUCUUGCCAUCAGAUGUGCCCAGAUGGGAUUAGCUGUUGGUGAGGUAACGGCUCACCAAGGCGACGAUCCCUAGCUGGUCUGAGAGGAUGACCAGCCACACUGGAACUGAGACACGGUCCAGACUCCUACGGGAGGCAGCAGUGGGGAAUAUUGCACAAUGGGCGCAAGCCUGAUGCAGCCAUGCCGCGUGUAUGAAGAAGGCCUUCGGGUUGUAAAGUACUUUCAGCGGGGAGGAAGGUGUUGUGGUUAAUAACCGCAGCAAUUGACGUUACCCGCAGAAGAAGCACCGGCUAACUCCGUGCCAGCAGCCGCGGUAAUACGGAGGGUGCAAGCGUUAAUCGGAAUUACUGGGCGUAAAGCGCACGCAGGCGGUCUGUCAAGUCGGAUGUGAAAUCCCCGGGCUCAACCUGGGAACUGCAUUCGAAACUGGCAGGCUUGAGUCUUGUAGAGGGGGGUAGAAUUCCAGGUGUAGCGGUGAAAUGCGUAGAGAUCUGGAGGAAUACCGGUGGCGAAGGCGGCCCCCUGGACAAAGACUGACGCUCAGGUGCGAAAGCGUGGGGAGCAAACAGGAUUAGAUACCCUGGUAGUCCACGCCGUAAACGAUGUCUACUUGGAGGUUGUGCCCUUGAGGCGUGGCUUCCGGAGCUAACGCGUUAAGUAGACCGCCUGGGGAGUACGGCCGCAAGGUUAAAACUCAAAUGAAUUGACGGGGGCCCGCACAAGCGGUGGAGCAUGUGGUUUAAUUCGAUGCAACGCGAAGAACCUUACCUGGUCUUGACAUCCACGGAAGUUUUCAGAGAUGAGAAUGUGCCUUCGGGAACCGUGAGACAGGUGCUGCAUGGCUGUCGUCAGCUCGUGUUGUGAAAUGUUGGGUUAAGUCCCGCAACGAGCGCAACCCUUAUCCUUUGUUGCCAGCGG